rnacentral:rRNA from 1 species
UUAGAGUGUUUAAAGCAGGCUUAACGCUUGAAUACAUUAGCAUGGAAUAAUGAAUAGGACGUUCGAUCCUAUUUUGUUGGUUUCUAGGAUUGACGUAAUGAUUAAUUAGGGAUAUUGGGGGCAUUAGUAUUCAAUUGUCAGAGGUGAAAUUCUUGGAUUUAUUGAAGACUAACUACUGCGAAAGCGUUUGCCAAGGAUGUUUUCAUUAAUCAAGAACGAAAGUUAGGGGAUCGAAGACGAUCAGAUACCGUCGUAGUCUUAACCAUAAACUAUGCCGACUAGGGAUCGGAUGAUGUUAAUUUUUUAAUGACUCAUUCGGCGCCUUACG